UACAGAGGAUGCAAGCGUUAUCCGGAAUGAUUGGGCGUAAAGCGUCUGUAGGUGGCUUUUUAAGUCCGCCGUCAAAUCCCAGGGCUCAACCCUGGAAUGCCGGUGGAAACUGUCGGGCUGGAGUCCGGAAGAGGCGAGUGGAAUUCCUGGUGUAGCGGUGAAAUGCGCAGAUAUCAGGAGGAACACCAAUGGCGAAGGCAGCUCGCUGGGACGGUACUGACGCUGAGACGCGAAAGCGUGGGGAGCAAACAGG
rnacentral:rRNA from 1 species